AUACCGGAUAGGACCUCGAGGCGCAUGCCUUGUGGUGGAAAGCUUUUGCGGUGUGGGAUGGGCCCGCGGCCUAUCAGCUUGUUGGUGGGGUGACGGCCUACCAAGGCGACGACGGGUAGCCGGCCUGAGAGGGUGUCCGGCCACACUGGGACUGAGAUACGGCCCAGACUCCUACGGGAGGCAGCAGUGGGGAAUAUUGCACAAUGGGCGCAAGCCUGAUGCAGCGACGCCGCGUGGGGGAUGACGGCCUUCGGGUUGUAAACCUCUUUCAGCAGGGACGAAGCGCAAGUGACGGUACCUGCAGAAGAAGCACCGGCCAACUACGUGCCAGCAGCCGCGGUAAUACGUAGGGUGCGAGCGUUGUCCGGAAUUACUGGGCGUAAAGAGCUCGUAGGUGGUUUGUCGCGUUGUUCGUGAAAUCUCACGGCUUAACUGUGAGCGUGCGGGCGAUACGGGCAGACUGGAGUACUGCAGGGGAGACUGGAAUUCCUGGUGUAGCGGUGGAAUGCGCAGAUAUCAGGAGGAACACCGGUGGCGAAGGCGGGUCUCUGGGCAGUAACUGACGCUGAGGAGCGAAAGCGUGGGGAGCGAACAGGAUUAGAUACCCUGGUAGUCCACGCCGUAAACGGUGGGUACUAGGUGUGGGUUUCCUUCCUUGGGAUCCGUGCCGUAGCUAACGCAUUAAGUACCCCGCCUGGGGGAGUACGGCCGCAAGGCUAAAACUCAAAGGAAUUGACGGGGGCCCGCACAAGCGGCGGAGCAUGUGGAUUAAUUCGAUGCAACGCGAAGAACCUUACCUGGGUUUGACAUGCACAGGACGCCGGCAGAGAUGUCGGUUCCCUUGUGGCCUGUGUGCAGGUGGUGCAUGGCUGUCGUCAGCUCGUGUCGUGAGAUGUUGGGUUAAGUCCCGCAACGAGCGCAACCCUUGUCUCAUGUUGCCAGCGGGUAAUGCCGGGGACUCGUGAGAGACUGCCGGGGUCAACUCGGAGGAAGGUGGGGAUGACGUCAAGUCAUCAUGCCCCUUAUGUCCAGGGCUUCACACAUGCUACAAUGGCCGGUACAAAGGGCUGCGAUGCCGCAAGGUUAAGCGAAUCCUUUUAAAGCCGGUCUCAGUUCGGAUCGGGGUCUGCAACUCGACCCCGUGAAGUCGGAGUCGCUAGUAAUCGCAGAUCAGCAACGCUGCGGUGAAUACGUUCCCGGGCCUUGUACACACCGCCCGUCACGUCAUGAAAGUCGGUAACACCCGAAGCCAGUGGCCUAACCC
rnacentral:rRNA from 1 species